GGCAUGGGUAUGAAUUUUAAAAACAUUGUUGGGCUUCAGAAAAGAAAGUCCACGCUGGUGGAACUUUCAGAGGAGGGAGUAUAUGGAUCACUGGGGGUGUAUAAAUAAAUUUCAUUGGGCCUAAAGCUCAAAUGCAUAGCCACCUGAGAGAGAGAGAGAGACAUGGAAUCUGCGUUCAAUUCAUUUCAUUUCAUUCAGUAUCCAACAUGCUCAAUUCAUUUUAUUCAAGCCAAAGUUGUCGCGUCGGAAAUCACCUCCGAAGAUGGCGGUCUAAAAUCCUUCAAACAACAUACCAAACAAACUGUCCCAAUCCUCUGUUCAAUAAUAUACCCCUAUAUUUCCCUAAUUCCUACCACAGAGUCCAAAUCGAGCAAAGUAACAAAUGAGCCCUAAAACAAUGAAAUCGAAAUUAAAUGGCAUGGAGGCCUUAAGAGGGAUCCAAACCUUAUGGGUUUGGUCCCUCUGACAUUGGACUACAUCACUACAACACGAAUUUGAGAUGAAGAGGUAGAAAUCUUACCUGCCGGAUUAGUUCCGUCGGCUCCUCAGAGGUGUCGUGUGUCAAAGAAAUUCAGAGGUUUUCCACUUCAGGGUGGAAGCACACUUGGCUUAGGCAAGGUUGGAGAUGGAUUAAUCAAGGCAUGUGAUUUUGGUAAAAAGACCAAGGAUCAUGAAGAGCAAGACUAAGGGUAGCUUGGGAUUUAAGAUAGUAUUGUAAUUAGGGUUAGGACUGGUAGAGUUGAGUUUGGUCAACUGGUUGACCAAAAAGUCAAUAUUGACUAAAGUCAACUAUAGGUCAAUGUUGUAUUUCUUUGUAGGUUUUGGAUUUUGUAUCUUUGUAAUGACUUUGUAAAUGGAUGUAAACCUUGAUGUCUUUGUGUUGAAGAAUGGGUUUGUAACUUGAUCUUUAAAUGAAUUUUCUAGAAAUGUAUUUUGACCUUGUGUUGCUCCCUUGCAAACAAACAUGAUUCAAUGCCUGGAAAA